rnacentral:rRNA from 1 species
AAUGAACGUUGGCGGCGUGGAUUAGGCAUGCGAGUCGUGCGAGAACCGUAGCAAUACGGGGACAGCGGCGAAAGGGAGAGGAACACGUGGAUACCUACCCUCAGGUUCAGGAUAGCUAUGGGAAACUAUAGGUAAUACUGAAUAAUAUCUCCGGAUCAAAGGUGUGAUUCCGCCGGAGGAGGGGUCCGCGUCCUAUUAGCUAGUUGGUGAGGUAAUGGCUCACCAAGGCGAAGAUGGGUACGGGAUGUGAGAGCAUGAUCCCGCUCAUUGGGACUGAGACACUGCCCAGACACCUACGGGUGGCUGCAGUCGAGAAUCUUCGGCAAUGGGGGAAACCCUGACCGAGCGACGCCGCGUGUGAGAUGAAGGCCUUCGGUUGUAAGUCACUGUCGUAGAGGAGG